rnacentral:rRNA from 1 species
UACAGAGGGGGCAAGCGUUAUUCGGAAUUAUUGGGCGUAAAGGGUGCGCAGGCGGCCGUGUGUGUCAGGUGUGAAAGCCCGGAGCUUAACUCCGGAAUUGCGCCUGAAACUACAUGGCUAGAGCAUUGGAGAGGGUAGCGGAAUUCACGGUGUAGCAGUGAAAUGCGUAGAUAUCGUGAGGAACACCAGAGGCGAAGGCGGCUACCUGGACAAUUGCUGACGCUCAGGCACGAAAGCGUGGGGAGCAAAAGGG